rnacentral:rRNA from 1 species
CCUACGGGAGGCAGCAGUGGGGAAUAUUGGACAAUGGGCGAAAGCCUGAUCCAGCAAUGCCGCGUGAGUGAUGAAGGCCUUAGGGUUGUAAAGCUCUUUUACCAGGGAUGAUAAUGACAGUACCUGGAGAAUAAGCUCCGGCUAACUCCGUGCCAGCAGCCGCGGUAAUACGGAGGGAGCUAGCGUUGUUCGGAAUUACUGGGCGUAAAGCGUGCGUAGGCGGUGAUUCAAGUCAGAGGUGAAAGCCUGGAGCUCAACUCCAGAACGGCCUUUGAAACUAGAUCGCUAGAAUUAUGGAGAGGUAAGUGGAAUUCCGAGUGUAGAGGUGAAAUUCGUAGAUAUUCGGAAGAACACCAGUGGCGAAGGCGACUUACUGGACAUAUAUUGACGCUGAGGUACGAAAGCGUGGGGAGCAAACAGGAUUAGAUACCCUGGUAGUCCACGCCGUAAACGAUAGAUAACUAGACUGUCGGUCGUCUCAGAGACGUGUAGUGGCGCGAGCGUACGACGA